UACGUAGGGGGCAAGCGUUGUCCGGAAUUAUUGGGCGUAAAGCGCGUGUAGGCGGCUCGGUAAGUCUGCUGUGAAAGUCCAAGGCUCAACCUUGGAAAGCCGGUGGAUACUGUCGAGCUCGAGUCCGGAAGAGGAAAGUGGAAUUCCUGGUGUAGCGGUGAAAUGCGCAGAUAUCAGGAAGAACACCCGUGGCGAAGGCGGCUUUCUGGGACGGUACUGACGCUGAGACGCGAAAGCGUGGGGAGCGAACAGG
rnacentral:rRNA from 1 species